rnacentral:rRNA from 1 species
GUGUCAGCAGCCGCGGUAAGACGAACCGUGCGAACGUUGUUCGGAAUCACUGGGCUUAAAGGGCGCGUAGGCGGCCUGCCAAGUCAGGGGUGAAAGCCCCCAGCUCAACUGGGGAAGUGCCUUUGAUACUGGCGGGCUCGAGCGAGGCAGGGGUCGUGGGAACUUCCGGUGGAGCGGUGAAAUGCGUUGAUAUCGGAAGGAACGCCGGUGGCGAAAGCGCACGACUGGUCCUCUUCUGACGCUGAGGCGCGAAAGCCAGGGGAGCAAACGGGAUUAGAUACCCGCGUAGUCC